CCUAGAACGACCUCCUACUCUCCUCCAACAUCAAGAACACCAAGGGUUUUCAAGAAAACCCAUCUCAAGAUUCAAGAAUCAAGAUUUAGGAAAUCUUCUCCAAAAUUCAAGUCUUUAAUUCAAGUUUUGGAGCAAUUAAGGUACGGAUUUACAGGACGACGCUUCUGCUCAAUAGGAUUUGCACGUACCAGCUUAUUGGUGAGCCCCAUCUCAUUCGGGGUUUAGACAUUGUAUUUCUUUAUUUCGUUUUGCAUCUAAAGGUAUGCUGGGGGCCUUGUCCCAGUAAGUAUGUUUUCCAGUCAGACUCAUGAUAGAGGUUUCAUAGACUAGACAAGUCAGUUAUGUCAUGUCAGACAUUUGGAGUCGUAUAGCCAAUUUGGCUCACUCAUGUUUAAACAAGUAUUCUAUUAACUAUUAUGACUUACCAUGUUUUAUAAAGGCUCAUCAUGCAUUCACGUUAUAUUCCGCUUAUGUUAUGUAUCAUGAUGAUUCAGCAGGCCAUGUGGUUCGCUCGGUCACAUGCAGUCAGGCACCGAGUGCCGUGUUACGUCCAGGCCAUGGUUCGGGGCGUGACAUUUUCUUACUCUUAAUUAGGAAGUAUUAGGAAAAAUAUUCCUUUUUUAUGACGUUGGUGUCCACGCCACAUGUGCGCACCUCGAUUAUUCACAUGGUACUUGCCACUUCCUACCAAGACAGGUACGGGGUAACUCUGUCCAUUGAGACUUAGGCAUACAAAAGAAAUCACCUAGUGAUUUUUGUCUCCGUUGGUAGAACGUGACACAUCAUGAUUCUCCUUCUGCCACUAGGCCACACCCUGGGGGCCAGAAAUAAAUUCUUGUCGUACUUAGUUUUCCGAAGUACGAUUCAAGAAUACUCCCCCGGAUCAAUAUUAGCAAAUAUGUUAGCUAAUAAUGCUAAGUAAUAUGAAUAGUUGGAUCGAUGAGGAAAGAAACAAAGCUUUUGAUAGUUCUGGGGAGUGUUUGAUAGAGUCGUAGAGCCAAUAUUUGUCAUGGCAAAGUUGGACCAGUAUUCUUAAGAGGUUGGUUUCCCAAAAUUCUCACUAGCUCUGUCAUCUAAAUAAUUGGACAGAGCAAAGUACGAUCUUGGUGGAGAUUCGGAUAAGUUCUGAUGAAUAAAGGAAGAAUCGGUAGAAACUCGCAGCUGAAAAAGUUGUUUGUGAUCGCUGUGUACAUGACCCGUUAUUUGAUUCAUUGCAAGAUCACAUGGACUUUCAAUUAAAACGCAUUAAACAUUGUGAAAGGCCAACAUUUGCUACAUCAGGCAUAAUCCAGGACAUCCCGAAGACCAGACCUUGUAAGGCCAACUUCAAGAUGCUAAUAGUACCUAGUGAUCUUCCACUGGGCCUAGAAGGAUGUUAAGGUUUAGAAUCAAAGAAGUAAUUGCUUGACAAUAGGGAAUAUAUUUAUUAUUUAUUCAUAGCAAAAGUUGAGCAAACCAAUGGGCUAGAGCUUCUUCUAUAUAAUAGGGAAUAAAUUAAAUAAAAAGAAAAUUGAAUAGCAGUCCACCUGUCUUAGAUAGUAAGAAGUAUUGCCUGAAAAAGACUAACAAAUAUCAAUUGACCGGAUAAUUUAAAUCUAACAUGAUGAAUCUCUUUCACCCCUUAUCUCCUUAUGUUCGUCGAAUCUUACAAUUCAUUGCUACCACAAGGCCACAUUCUUGGGUGCUAAUCUCGUCAUUUUUAUUACUGAUGAUAGCAAGGAAAUCCGUAAUCUGUAUGACUAUUUGUUUAUUGCCUGGUGAAGACAGUACAGAAGAGUCUCUCAACAAGGGAAGCACAAAAAUUUAGAUGCACAAGUAAAUUGAAUAUCCCCUAGAAAACUGAAGUCAGGAACAAAAAUCCCAUAAUAAAAAUGGAACAGGAAAUAAUUUUUCACUGUCUCCCUCUCCAAAAACCCACGGGAGGGAGGCUUCUUCAUGGAAACAAUAAUCGCGACAUAAUUAAGUCUCUUUCCUGUCAAAGCAUAAGAUAUUGUCAUGUACAAAUUAAUUUGCAAAGCACUGUAGCGAACCAAUAGUUCACGAAAAGUGAGACUGAUAUUAACCCAUCAAAGUGAUAAUCUACACUUCUUCCGGAAAUGCUAAUUACUGAAUAUCUCAUGUAACUGAAAUCUUAGACUGCUACAUGAUUUAUACAUACUUGAAUUAGCUGAUGAUCGGUGACGCUUUGAGAUCAAAAACGUCAGCCAUUCCACUACGUCUCGUUUUGCCUGCCACUUUGUUUCAGAAUUUAUGGUACUUGUCUGCCCGAAAGCAUCCAAAUAAUCCUCUGAGACAACA